rnacentral:rRNA from 1 species
GAAGGCGGGCUGGAACCUCUCGGGGUUACAGCCUUGCUGAAUUAUUCACCCUUGUCUUUUGCGUACUUCUUGUUUCCUUGGUGGGUUCGCCCACCACUAGGACAAACAUAAACCUUUUGUAAUUGCAAUCAGCGUCAGUAACAAAUUAAUAAUUACAACUUUCAACAACGGAUCUCUUGGUUCUGGCAUCGAUGAAGAACGCAGCGAAAUGCGAUAAGUAGUGUGAAUUGCAGAAUUCAGUGAAUCAUCGAAUCUUUGAACGCACAUUGCGCCCUUUGGUAUUCCAAAGGGCAUGCCUGUUCGAGCGUCAUUUGUACCCUCAAGCUUUGCUUGGUGUUGGGCGUCUUGUCUCUAGCUUUGCUGGAGACUCGCCUUAAAGUAAUUGGCAGCCGGCCUACUGGUUUCGGAGCGCAGCACAAGUCGCACUCUCUAUCAGCAAAGGUCUAGCAUCCAUUAAGCCUUUUUUUCAACUUUUGACCUCGGAUCAGGUAGGGAUACCCGCUGAACUUAAGCAUAUCAAUAAGCGGAGGAAAUA